AGAGUUUGAUCCUGGCUCAGGACGAACGCUGGCGGCGUGCCUAAUACAUGCAAGUCGAGCGAAUGGAUGGGAGCUUGCUCCCUGAAAUUAGCGGCGGACGGGUGAGUAACACGUGGGCAACCUGCCUGUAAGACUGGGAUAACUUCGGGAAACCGGAGCUAAUACCGGAUAACUUCUUUUCUCGCAUGGGGAAAGGUUGAAAGACGGCUUCGGCUGUCACUUACAGAUGGGCCCGCGGCGCAUUAGCUAGUUGGUGAGGUAACGGCUCACCAAGGCAACGAUGCGUAGCCGACCUGAGAGGUGAUCGGCCACACUGGGACUGAGACACGGCCCAGACUCCUACGGGAGGCAGCAGUAGGGAAUCUUCCGCAAUGGACGAAAGUCUGACGGAGCAACGCCGCGUGAGUGAUGAAGGUCUUCGGAUCGUAAAACUCUGUUAUCAGGGAAGAACAAGUAUCGGAGUAACUGCCGGUACCUUGACGGUACCUGACCAGAAAGCCACGGCUAACUACGUGCCAGCAGCCGCGGUAAUACGUAGGUGGCAAGCGUUGUCCGGAAUUAUUGGGCGUAAAGCGCGCGCAGGCGGUCUCUUAAGUCUGAUGUGAAAGCCCACGGCUCAACCGUGGAGGGUCAUUGGAAACUGGGAGACUUGAGUGCAGAAGAGAAGAGCGGAAUUCCACGUGUAGCGGUGAAAUGCGUAGAGAUGUGGAGGAACACCAGUGGCGAAGGCGGCUCUUGGUCUGUACUGACGCUGAG
rnacentral:rRNA from 1 species